UUGUACUAGUAUUUGGGUACA
rnacentral:piRNA from 1 species